rnacentral:rRNA from 1 species
CCUGACUGCUAUCGGAUUGAUACUAAGCCAUGCGAGUCAUUGUAGCAAUACAAGGCAGACGGCUCAGUAACGCGUAGUCAACCUACCCUAUGGACGGGAAUAACCUCGGGAAACUGAGAAUAAUGCCCGAUAGAACAUUAUGCCUGGAAUGGUUUAUGUUCCAAAUGAUUUAUCGCCAUAGGAUGGGACUGCGGCCUAUCAGUUUGUUGGUGAGGUAAUGGCCCACCAAGACUAUUACAGGUACGGGCUCUGAGAGGAGUGGCCCGGAGAUGGGUACUGAGACACGGACCCAGGCCCUAUGGGGCGCAGCAGGCGAGAAAACUUUGCAAUGUGCGAAAGCACGACAAGGUUAAUCCGAGUGGUUUCUGCUAAAGGAACCUUUUGUCGGUCCUAAAAACACCGAUGAAUAAGGGGUGGGCAAGUUCUGGUGUCAGCCGCCGCGGUAAAACCAGCACCUCAAGUUGUCAGGAUGAUUAUUGGGCCUAAAGCAUCCGUAGCCGGCUCUGUUAGUUUUCGGUUAAAUCUGUACGCUCAACGUACAGGCUGCCGGGAAUACUGCAGAGCUAGGGAGUGGGAGAGGUAGACGGUACUCGGUAGGAAGGGGUAAAAUCCUUUGAUCUAUUGAUGACCACCUGUGGCGAAGGCGGUCUACCAGAACACGUCCGACGGUGAGGGAUGAAAGCUGGGGGAGCAAACCGGAUUAGAUACCCGGGUAGUCCCAGCUGUAAACUAUGCAAACUCAGUGAUGCAUUGGCUUGUGGCCAAUGCAGUGCUGCAGGGAAGCCGUUAAGUUUGCCGCCUGGGAAGUACGUACGCAAGUAUGAAACUUAAAGGAAUUGGCGGGGGAGCACCACAAGGGGUGAAGCCUGCGGUUC